AGAGUUUGAUCCUGGCUCAGGACGAACGCUGGCGGCGUGCUUAACACAUGCAAGUCGAACGGAAAGGCCCUUCGGGGUGCUCGAGUGGCGAACGGGUGAGUAACACGUGGGUGAUCUGCCCUGCACUUUGGGAUAAGCCUGGGAAACUGGGUCUAAUACCGGAUAGGACCAUGGCCUUCAUGGGUUGUGGUGGAAAGCUUUUGCGGUGUGGGAUGGGCCCGCGGCCUAUCAGCUUGUUGGUGGGGUAAUGGCCUACCAAGGCGACGACGGGUAGCCGGCCUGAGAGGGUGACCGGCCACACUGGGACUGAGAUACGGCCCAGACUCCUACGGGAGGCAGCAGUGGGGAAUAUUGCACAAUGGGCGCAAGCCUGAUGCAGCGACGCCGCGUGGGGGAUGACGGCCUUCGGGUUGUAAACCUCUUUCAGCACAGACGAAGCGUGAGUGACGGUAUGUGCAGAAGAAGCACCGGCCAACUACGUGCCAGCAGCCGCGGUAAUACGUAGGGUGCGAGCGUUGUCCGGAAUUACUGGGCGUAAAGAGCUCGUAGGUGGUUUGUCGCGUUGUUCGUGAAAACUCACAGCUUAACUGUGGGCGUGCGGGCGAUACGGGCAGACUGGAGUACUGCAGGGGAGACUGGAAUUCCUGGUGUAGCGGUGGAAUGCGCAGAUAUCAGGAGGAACACCGGUGGCGAAGGCGGGUCUCUGGGCAGUAACUGACGCUGAGGAGCGAAAGCGUGGGGAGCGAACAGGAUUAGAUACCCUGGUAGUCCACGCCGUAAACGGUGGGUACUAGGUGUGGGUUUCCUUCCUUGGGAUCCGUGCCGUAGCUAACGCAUUAAGUACCCCGCCUGGGGAGUACGGCCGCAAGGCUAAAACUCAAAGGAAUUGACGGGGGCCCGCACAAGCGGCGGAGCAUGUGGAUUAAUUCGAUGCAACGCGAAGAACCU
rnacentral:rRNA from 1 species